GAGAGGGGGUAGGAGGGGUCCUGAUCCCGAAAUCCCGGGCUUAAAAACACCAGAUCCCGAAAUCCCGAGCUUAAAAACAUGAAAUCCCGAGGUCCCGAAAUUCGAAAAAAGAAUUCCCGGAUCCCGAAAGGAUCAAUCCUGAAAUCCCGAGCUUAAAAACACCCGAUCCCGGAGUCCCGAUAAAGGUCCUAUCCCCCCUCUAUAUAGGAGUUGAUUAAACAAGUAUUUAUGGUUACCUGAAAUUCUACUUGCUAUCAUAAAACACAUUUUGAUUGAUGCAUGUCAUAUUGAGAAAAUUUCUAGGAUAGAAUAACAGGCUACCGGUAAUCCAUAUCUAGUGUGCUUUGGAUAGAGCAAAAUGUACAAUCCUAAACAUCAAAAUCUUGAAGUUAGGAUAAGC
rnacentral:lncRNA from 1 species